AUCCAUCUGACGAGUCCCAAAUAGGACGAAACGUGCGCCCUGGAU
rnacentral:hammerhead_ribozyme from 1 species